CCUACGGGUGGCUGCAGUGGGGAAUAUUGCACAAUGGGGGAAACCCUGAUGCAGCCAUGCCGCGUGUGUGAAGAAGGCCUUCGGGUUGUAAAGCACUUUCAGCGAGGAGGAAAGGUUGAUGCCUAAUACGUAUCAACUGUGACGUUACUCGCAGAAGAAGCACCGGCUAACUCCGUGCCAGCAGCCGCGGUAAUACGGAGGGUGCAAGCGUUAAUCGGAAUUACUGGGCGUAAAGCGCACGCAGGCGGUUGGAUAAGUUAGAUGUGAAAGCCCCG
rnacentral:rRNA from 1 species